rnacentral:rRNA from 1 species
AGUUUGAGGUAGUCCGUACGAGCGCACCCUUGUCCUUAGUUACCAGCACGUUAAGGUGGGCACUCUAAGGAGAUUGCCGGUGACAAACCGGAGGAAGGUGGGGAUGACGUCAAGUCAUCAUGGCCCUUACGGCCUGGGCUACACACGUGCUACAAUGGUCGGUACAAAGGGUUGCCAAGCCGCGAGGUGGAGCUAAUCCCAUAAAACCGAUCGUAGUCCGGAUCGCAGUCUGCAACUCGACUGCGUGAAGUCGGAAUCGCUAGUAAUCGUGAAUCAGAAUGUCACGGUGAAUACGUUCCCGGGCCUUGUACACACCGCCCGUGGGGCGGGGGCGGCGGGCCGGGCGCGGG